rnacentral:rRNA from 1 species
GGCUCAGGACGAACGCUGGCGGCGUGCUUAACACAUGCAAGUCGAACGGUAAGGCUCUUCGGAGUACACGAGUGGCGAACGGGUGAGUAACACGUGAGCAACCUGCCCUUGACACUGGGAUAACAGUUGGAAACAGCUGCUAAUACCGGAUACGACCUCGAUCGGCAUCGAUCGAGGUGGAAAGUUCCGGCUGUCAAGGAUGGGCUCGCGGCCUAUCAGCUUGUUGGUGAGGUAACGGCUCACCAAGGCUUCGACGGGUAGCCGGCCUGAGAGGGCGACCGGCCACACUGGGACUGAGAUACGGCCCAGACUCCUACGGGAGGCAGCAGUGGGAAUAUUGCGCAAUGGGCGAAAGCCUGACGCAGCAACGCCGCGUGCGGGAUGACGGCCUUCGGGUUGUAAACCGCUUUCAGCAGGGACGAGGCAACACGUGACGGUACCUGCAGAAGAAGCACCGGCCAACUACGUGCCAGCAGCCGCGGUGAUACGUAGGGUGCGAGCGCUGUCCGGAAUUAUUGGGCGUAAAGAGCUUGUAGGCGGUCUAUUGCGUCGAAAGUGAAAACUCAGGGCUCAACCCUGAGCCUGCUCUCGAUACGGGUAGACUUGAGGGAUGUAGGGGAGAACGGAAUUCUUGGUGGAGCGGUGGAAUGCGCAGAUAUCAGGAGGAACACCGGUGGCGAAGGCGGUUCUCUGGACAUUUCCUGACGCUGAGAAGCGAAAGCGUGGGUAGCAAACAGGCUUAGAUACCCUGGUAGUCCACGCCGUAAACGGUGGGUACUAGGUGUGGGGGACAUUCCACGUUCUCCGUGCCGCAGCUAACGCAUUAAGUACCCCGCCUGGGGAGUACG